rnacentral:rRNA from 1 species
GACGAACGCUGGCGGCGUGCUUAACACAUGCAAGUCGAACGAAAAUACCAAGCUUGCUUGGUUGAUUAGUGGCGAACGGGUGAGUAACACGUGAGUAACCUGCCCCUUACUUUCCUGGAUAACUGCUCGAAAGGGUAGCUAAUACGGGAUAUUCUGACCAGCCUGCAUGGGUUGGUUUGGAAAGGUUGUUUUUCUGGUAAGGGAUGGGCUCGCGGCCUAUCAGCUUGUUGGUGGGGUGAUGGCCUACCAAGGCUUUGACGGGUAGCCGGCCUGAGAGGGUGGACGGUCACACUGGGACUGAGAUACGGCCCAGACUCCUACGGGAGGCAGCAGUGGGGAAUAUUGCACAAGGGGCGCAAGCCUGAUGCAGCGACGCCGCGUGAGGGAGGAAGGCCUUCGGGUUGUAAACCUCUUUCGUCAGGGAACAAGGCACUGCUUUUGUGGUGGUGUUGAGGGUACCUGGAUAAGAAGCGCCGGCUAACUACGUG